UCACUUUGAUCACAUCUCAUUUAGAGGA
rnacentral:piRNA from 1 species